AGCUCCCUGAGGUUAUUGGUAGUUCUGGUUAGUCCCUUGAGCCGAUAAUCACACCCUUGGAAGCUUCUUGGUUAUCUGAUGUGCAUGUCCGCUUGCCGGAAAGCCUAAUUUUAAUCUGAAGCUGCCACCUUGAACCUUCGGGUUCAGGGCCGAUCCAGCGCCGUAACCCUGGGGAGUCU
rnacentral:other from 1 species